AAGUCGUAACAAGGUUUCCGUAGGUGAACCUUCGGAAGGAUCAUUACCGUAACGCGGCGGUCCGGCAACCGCAAGGAAGUCGGCCGCCACACGCGUUUAUCACCCUUUGACUUUGAGCACCUUUCGUUUCCUCGGCGGGUUCGCCCGCCAGCGAGGACCCCCACAAACCCUUUGUAAUAGCAAUAUUUGUCUGAAAAACAACCAAUAAUCAAAACUUUCAACAAUGGAUCUCUUGGUUCUG
rnacentral:misc_RNA from 1 species